GCAAAGAGUGAGGUGAAAGGAAGACAGCAGCAGGGGAGGAGGGGUAUGAGCAGGCAAGCGCGGCGAUAGUGGCGCCACAGUCGGUGGGAAGAAGAAACGAGUAGGAGGCAGCUUGCCGGGAAGGUUGCCGCAGUACAUCCUAACAUAUUUUGGCCAGUGUUUGCACCGUAUUGAUUGAGGUUGUCGAAUUAAUGGACCGAUUUAGUUGCUCUUAGUGGAACUAUUAGGAUCCUACAUAAAGUACUAGUGCGUGAAGCCUCGAUUCGUCUCGUGUGUCCGGCCCGCCAGUGUGACAUAAGGAAUAUAAACCAGUGAGAGGUGCAGUGAGGAAAGGCGCCUGCCCGCCGCCCGCCGCCCUGCUUCACCAUCGCCUCAGUCGCUUCAUCCCAUAACUUUAUCCGGAUACCUUCAACCUUUCCCACGUACCCAACAUUUUUUUCUUUCCCCUCCCUAUCCCCCCAAAAAAUGUAAAUGAUCCUAUUAAACACUGUUUUACACUUAACGUUUACUCUUUGGUCAUCAGACAGCAGUUCGCGGCCAGGCAGCAGCAGAUGGCCGCCAGGUGUGCAGAAUCUACAAGUACAAAACAAGCUUCGUCGAUAGUUUGGUGUUGAUAAGCUGGCGCUACAGUAGGCCUACACCCAGCACUCGCCAACUCACGCCAGGAAAAUCGAUUUCAACAAUGCAGUGUUGCCAUGAAUUCCUGAGUGCAGCACAGCGUGGAGGACCAUGAUCCUGUACCCAGCAGCAACAGCAGCACUAGCACCAGCAGCAGUAGCAGCAAAAAAUAAUAAAUGUAUAUAUAUGGAUAGAUAGAUAAAUAAUAAAAAAAAAGUUAAGCGA